rnacentral:rRNA from 1 species
GAUGAACGCUGGCGGCGUGCCUAAUACAUGCAAGUCGAGCGAACAGACGAGAGUGCUUGCACUCUCUGACGUUAGCAGCGGACGGGUGAGUAACACGUGGGUAACCUACCUAUAAGACUGGGAUAACUUCGGGAAACCGGAGCUAAUACCGGAUAAUAUUUAGCUUCGCAUGAAGCAAUAGUGAAAGACGGUUCUGCUGUCACUUAUAGAUGGACCCGCGGUGUAUUAGCUAGUUGGUGAGGUAACGGCUCACCAAGGGAACGAUACAUAGCCGACCUGAGAGGGUGAUCGGCCACACUGGGACUGAGACACGGCCCAGACUCCUACGGGAGGCAGCAGUAGGGAAUCUUCCGCAAAGGACGAAAGUCUGACGGAGCAAUGCCGCGUGAGUGAAGAAGGUUUUCGGAUCGUAAAACUCUGUUGUAAGGGAAGAACAAGUACGUUAGUAACUGAACGUACCUUGACGGUACCUUACCAGAAAGCCACGGCUAACUACGUG